rnacentral:rRNA from 1 species
UACGUAGGGUGCGAGCGUUGUCCGGAAUUAUUGGGCGUAAAGGGCUCGUAGGCGGUUUGUCGCGUCGGGAGUGAAAACCUCGGGCUUAACUCGGGGCUUGCUUCGAUACGGGCAGACUAGAGGUAUGCAGGGGAGAACGGAAUUCCUGGUGUAGCGGUGAAAUGCGCAGAUAUCAGGAGGAACACCGGUGGCGAAGGCGGUUCUCUGGGCAUGAUCUGACGCUGAGGAGCGAAAGUGUGGGGAGCGAACAGG